AAUGAACGCUGGCGGCAGGCCUAACACAUGCAAGUCGAGGGGUAGCAGGAUUAAGCUUGCUUAAUUGCUGACGACCGGCGCACGGGUGCGUAACGCGUAUGCAACCUACCUUAUACUGGGGUAUAGCCCGGAGAAAUUCGGAUUAAUCCCCCAUAGUACUAAUGAAUCGCAUGGUUUAUUAGUUAAAGCAUUGCGGUAUAAGAUGGGCAUGCGUCCUAUUAGCUAGAUGGUGAGGUAACGGCUCACCAUGGCUACGAUAGGUAGGGGGCCUGAGAGGGUGGUCCCCCACACUGGUACUGAGACACGGACCAGACUCCUACGGGAGGCAGCAGUGAGGAAUAUUGGUCAAUGGGCGCAAGCCUGAACCAGCCAUGCCGCGUGCAGGAAGAAUGCCCUAUGGGUUGUAAACUGCUUUUAUUUGGGAAUAAACCUCUUUACGUGUAGAGAGCUGAAGGUACCAAAUGAAUAAGCACCGGCUAACUCCGUGCCAGCCGCCGCGGUAA
rnacentral:rRNA from 1 species